AAUUUCAGAAAAUUUCCCUAUUCUUUUUUUCUCUAAUUUUCAUUUUCAAAAUGGGAUUUUAAAAGCUAAAACAAUUUGCAUGAAAACUACCAAUAACCCUCUCUGAUUAGCUGAUGGUCAUAUUCCUGGGGCUGAUCAUGACAGGAAUGUAGAAAGAGAUGACAACAAAAUUCCAUAGGUACCUUUUAGUGAUAAACUUGGCUCCUUUGUCUUUGUCACCUUACCUGCCUCCAGCCAAAUUCCCUUUUGUCCCAUGGGCUCUUCCUGUGUACAAGCCAUUUUGGAGUGGAGAUGAAGGAGCUUGGUGGCAAAUGCCACCAUCAGCAUCACCCACAAACAUUCACUGACCAUCAUGAAGGCAUAAAGAGAUAGAGAACUCAUUCCUUGCUUUCAAUGACCUUAUAUUGUGCUCUUUAGAAAUGUAGAAUCGUUGACAUUUUAAAUGGAUGGACCAUGGAUGUUAUGGAGGACGCCAAGAGUAAACUCACUUUGAAAUGCCUGAGAGGCUGAAUUGUGUCCCCACAAAAGAUGCUGAAGUCCUAACCUCCAGUACCUGUGAAUAUGACCUUAUUUGAAUAAGGUGUUUGCAGAUGAUCAAGGUAAGAUGAAGUCAUUCAUUAGGAUGGGCCCCUAAUCCACUAUGCCUGAUGUUCUUAUAGAGAGGGGAAAUUUGAAAAUAAAAAAGUAUAUAAAUUAGGAAAAGAGAAAGGGAAAAUUUAAGCACAGAGACAGACACACACAAAGGAAGAUAAUGUGAAGACACAGAAAGGAGACAGCCAUCUACCAGCCAGGGGACACCUGAGGUUACCAGAAGCUGGGAGACAGACAUGGACCCAAUUCUCCCUUACUGCCCUCAGAGGGAACAAACCCUGCUGGCACCUUGACUUCAGGCUUCUGUGAGACGGCACACUUCCUUUGUGUAAGCCACCGAGUUUGUCGUACUUUAUUAUAGCAGCCCCAGCGAGCUAAGACGCCUUCCUAGACCCAUACUAUUUAAAAGUGCACUCUCUGUACCCCUUCUUUUCUCGAGUACUGUCAAACAGCAUAGAUGUGGCUAUUUGGAUACUUGCUCAAGUAUUUCUUUAUAGUUGGUCUCCCUCCGCUGGAAUGUAAGCAUCACGGAAGAGAAGACUUUUGUAGAUUUUCUUCAUGGAUUCCUAGCACCCAGAAUCAGUCCUGUCUUUACGCCCGUCAUGCUGUGGGAGGCCCUCUCUGGCCCUCCUCCAGCCCUGCCCCGCCCCACCCGGUGAGGAGUCUGUGCAGUCAAGCGGAUGUGCUUUCUUGAUGUACGUAGUCCAAUUUGGUCAACACUUACUGACUGCUCACAUUUCAUAAUAGAAAUAGUUUACUUUUCUGGUAGAGUUCUUAAUAGAAUCCUUGAUGUGAAAAGUUGAAAGAGGUCCUCAUUGAUUAUCAUGUCUAAACCCCAAUUAUAUUAGUCAGGACUCUUUGUUGCAAGUAACAGAAAAUCUAACCCCAACUGGUUUACAGAAUAAAGGGAAUUUACUGGCUCAUGUAACUUAAAAGUCCAGAUAUAUGGUGGUUUCCAGGCAAACCUUGAUCCCAGGCUCAGUCAUCUCAACAAUGGUUUGGUUUAUUAUCAUGUCUUUCUCUGCCUUCCACACUGCCUGUUGUAUCUGAAGGCCAGCUUCUCUGUUGUCACAAGGUGAUUACCAGCAACUUUCGUGGACUUAAUGCUUUUUCAUUCCCAUCCGGGUGGAAAAGAGCAUCUCUGUAGGUCGCUUCCAUAGCAGAGUGAGAAAGUUUCUUUCCCCGAAAUCUCCAGCAAAUGCCUUCUUGUCUUGCAUUCCAUUUGCCUGGAGGGGGAACUUGCUCACCUUUGACCAGUGACUGUGGCCAACAGGGUGACAGGGUGUGAUGAUUAGUUUGUGCCAAACAGGGUUUGUCCCUUGUGAUGGUUAAUUUGAUAUGUCACUUAGGCUGGGACAGGGGGAUCCCAGGCAUUUGGUUAAACAUGAUUUGGGGUGUGCCUGUGAGGAUGUUUCUGGACGAGAUAAACAUUUGAAAUAGUAGACUGAGUAACGCAGAUUGCCCUCCCCAAGGUGGGUGGGCCUCAUCCAAUCUUUUGCAGGCCUGGCUAGAACAAAAGUUGGGGUAAGGAAGAAUUCACUCUCUCUGCCUGUUUUUGAGCUGGGACGUUGGUUUCGUCCUGUACUCAGAUUGGAACUUAAACCAUCAGCUCUGCUGGUUCUCCAGUUUGCAGACAGCAGACUGUGGGACUUCUCGGCCUCCAUAAUCACAUGAGCUAGUUCUUUAUAAUAAAUCUCUUUAAAU
rnacentral:lncRNA from 1 species